rnacentral:rRNA from 1 species
CCUACGGGGGGCAGCAGUGGGGAAUAUUGGACAAUGGGCGAAAGCCUGAUCCAGCCAUGCCGCGUGUGUGAAGAAGGCCUUCGGGUUGUAAAGCACUUUCGGUGGGGAAGAAAGCCUUGGGGCUAAUACCCUCGAGGAAGGACAUCACCCACAGAAGAAGCACCGGCUAACUCCGUGCCAGCAGCCGCGGUAAUACGGAGGGUGCGAGCGUUAAUCGGAAUUACUGGGCGUAAAGCGCGCGUAGGCGGUCUGAUAAGCCGGUUGUGAAAGCCCCGGGCUCAACCUGGGAACGGCAUCCGGAACUGUCAGGCUAGAGUGCAGGAGAGGAAGGUAGAAUUCCCGGUGUAGCGGUGAAAUGCGUAGAGAUCGGGAGGAAUACCAGUGGCGAAGGCGGCCUUCUGGACUGACACUGACGCUGAGGUGCGAAAGCGUGGGUAGCAAACAGGAUUAGAUACCCCAGUAGUC